rnacentral:rRNA from 1 species
UACGGAGGGUGCAAGCGUUAUCCGGAUUCACUGGGUUUAAAGGGUGCGUAGGUGGGCAGGUAAGUCAGUGGUGAAAUCUCCGGGCUCAACCCGGAAACUGCCAUUGAUACUAUUUGUCUUGAAUAUCGAUGAGGCGGGCAGAAUAUGUCAUGUAGCGGUGAAAUGCAUAGAUAUGACAUAGAAUACCGAUUGCGAAGGCAGCUCGCUAACCGAUCAUUGACGCUGAGGCACGAAAGCGUGGGGAUCAAACAGG